CCGCACGACUCCAUUUCUAUCGUGCCGGCGUGAUCGUCAAAAAGGAGGAGACCAAACCCCGCCUGGCCGGCGGUGCGGCAGUGUGGAGACCUGCCGUAAUGCUCCGGGAGUUUCGCUCUCCCGGCUGCGAGGGAAUGUGUGCGGAGGCACCGUUCUUACGGCCGAAUUUAUGGCA
rnacentral:ncRNA from 1 species